CCAUUCUGCUCCGCAGUCCGCACUGGCAUCGGCAUCCCCGAUGGCGGCGUCGCCCGCCCUCCUCUCGCGGACUCCCGCCGUCUCCGGGCACCCCCACCUCCUCUUCUCGCGUCGCCCCUCGCCGCGCCACCUCCGCCUCGCCCCUCCCGCCGCCGCCCCCACCCCGGGGGGCAGCCCUGGCCCCGGCGUCUUCCUAUCGCCGCGCGCGCUCUCGCAGCUCGACGAGCUCGCGGCCUUCCGCUACGAGCACGCCUUCCCGCACGGCCUCCUCACCGUGCGCGCCCUCACCCGCGGCCCCGAAGACGACGCCGUGGCCGAGGCGCUCGUCCGCCUCCUGGCCUCCUCGUUCUCAGAGACCGUCCGGUGGGCCCCGGCCCAGCGCUACGCGCAGCUCCUCACGUUCGUCAUCCGCAGGUACCUCCACGAGCGCCGCGGGCUCGCGCCGCACGCCGCGGUGCUCGUGGGGUUCUACCGCCCCGCCGACGCGGGCGCGGCCGACGCCACGGGGGAUGACGGAGACGAGGGCAGCGACGAUGGGAGAGGUAAAGAUGAAGGGGAGAUGGCGUGCACGGCGGAGGUGUCGUUCGACGCGGUGGGCGCGCCCGGGGCCCCGCCCACGCCCACCCCGCCGCUCGACUUCCCGUACAUCUGUAACAUGACUGUGAAGACGGCAUUCAGGAGGAGAGGAAUCGGGAAACAACUUCUUAAGGCAUGUGAGGAUUUGGUCAUCAAAAUGGAUGCAAAAAGACGUGUAUAUCUUCAUUGUCGAAUUAUCGAUCAAGUGCCAUUCAACAUGUACAGGAAAGCUGGAUAUAACAUUGUCGAGACUGACAAUAUUUUGGUUUGGCUGAGCCUUCAAAAGCGGAAGUAUUUGAUGAGCAAGGAAUUACCUCAAGCUUCUGUUGUUGAGUCUUCAACCAAAGACUUCGAUGAUAAUAUUUUGACACGCUAAACGUUCAACAGGAUCAACAGUUGGUCAAGUUACGGAGGGCUGUUCUAAGCGCCCUCUGAAUAGCUGUAAUGACAUCAAUGCUUGUGAUGUUAUCCUCUGAGCAGUAUAUACAUCCAAUGAGUUUUCCACCUUCAUAGAGAUAAUUCUUCCUGAAGAACCAUCGGGAACUCGAUAUGACUAAAACAUUGAUCUCACAUUGCAGACUUUGUCUUCAUAACCUAAAAAGCAGAGCAAAAUUACCUCUGGUACAAAAUUCUUUGGCAGAGACGCUGUUUGUGAAACUUUAGAGCAAGUAUUAUAGUGGGCUACAAGUUGGCUAAAUCCUACAUGGAAGAGAGAGAAAAGAAGAAAGAGUAGAAAGUGGGCGCUUCACUCCCCGCAGGCUGAAACGGGCUGAACUGCCGCUGCUUCGUGGGCCCUCACAGAGGCAAAUGCCAGCUGCCAGCCUGCAGCGAGCGCAGAGCAGGCGCAUGGGCGCCGCACGCAGCCGACGAGCGGGCUGCGUUGCUAGCCUUGCUCUUAAGGAAACGUUUGCUGUUGCCAGCCUACUACAUUUGAUUAUGACGCACUGAUUGAAUUUUGGGAGGCAAAGGGAUCUAUUUUACUUUGUUUAUUCAUGUUUUUACCUGUGUUUUUAUAA